rnacentral:rRNA from 1 species
UGAGUACGAGAUGCUACGGCAUCGAAGCAGUCUAUGUCAUACUUCCAAGAAAAGCUUGCAAUGUCAUAAACAAAUAAUGCCUGUACCAUAACCGACACAGGUGGGUAGGUAGAGUAUACUAAGGGGCGCGAGAUAACUCUCUCUAAGGAACUCGGCAAAAUGACUCCGUAACUUCGGGAGAAGGAGUGCCUUAUUUUUAUAAGGUUGCAAUAACAAGAUCCAAGCAACUGUUUACCAAAAACACAGGUCUCCGCUAAGUCGUAAGACGAUGUAUGGGGGCUGACGCCUGCCCAGUGCCAGAAGGUUAAAGAAGUUGGUUAGCAUUAGCGAAGCUGAUAACUGAAGCCCUGGUGAACGGCGGCCGUAACAAUAACGGUCCUAAGGUAGCGAAAUUCCUUGUCGGGUAAGUUCCGACCCGCACGAAAGGCGUAAUGAUUUGGAUACUGUCUCGGAGAGGGGCUCGGUGAAAUAGACUUGUCUGUGAAGAUGCGGACUACCUGCACCUGGACAGAAAGACCCUAUGAAGCUUUACUGUAACUUGAGAUUGAAAUUGGACUUUAUCUGCGCAGUAUAGGUGGGAGACGUUGAAAAUAUUCUUGCGGGAAUAUUGGAGUCAUCAGUGAGAUACCACUCUUAUAAUGUUAGAUUUCUAACUUUGUAUCAUUAUCUGGUCAAAGAACAGUUUCAGGCGGGCAGUUUGACUGGGGCGGUCGCCUCCCAAACGGUAACGGAGGCGCACAAAGGUUUCCUCUGAACGUGUAGAAAUCGUAUCUAGAGUGUAAAGGCAUAAGGAAGCUUGACUGUGAGACCUACAAGUCGAGCAGGGACGAAAGUCGGUCUUAGUGAUCUGACGGUGCUGAGUGGAAAGGCCGUCACUCAACGGAUAAAAGUUACUCUAGGAUAACAGGCUGAUCUCCCCCAAGAGUUCACAUCGACGGGGAGGUUUGGCACCUCGAUGUCGGCUCAUCGCAUCCUGGGGCGGUAGUACGUCCCAAGGGUUGGGCUGUUCGCCCAUGAAAGCGGUACGCGAGCUGGGUUCAGAACGUCGUGAGACAGUUCGGUCCAUAUCCGGUGUAGGCGUUAGAAUAUUGAGAGGAGCCUUCUUUAGUACGAGAGGACCGAGAAGGACAUACCUCUGGUGUACCAGUUAUCGUGCCAACGGUAAACGCUGGGUAGCCAUGUAUGGAGAGGAUAACCGCUGAAAGCAUCUAAGUGGGAAGCCCACCUCAAGAUAAGUAUUCU